GCGGGCGUGGUGGAAAUGGUAGACACGCUAGAUUCAGGUUCUAGUGGGCGUUAGCCCGUGGGGGUUCGAGUCCCUCCGCCCGCACCA
rnacentral:tRNA from 1 species